UACGUAGGGUGCGAGCGUUGUCCGGAAUUAUUGGGCGUAAAGCGCACGUAGGCGGCUCUGCAAGUCGGAUGUGAAAUCCCUCGGCUCAACCAAGGAAGUGCAUCCGAAACUGCGGAGCUUGAGUACUUAAGAGGAUCGCGGAAUUCCCGGUGUAGAGGUGAAAUUCGUAGAUAUCGGGAGGAACACCAGUGGCGAAGGCGGCGAUCUGGGAAGAUACUGACGCUGAGGUGCGAAAGCGUGGGGAGCAAACAGG
rnacentral:rRNA from 1 species